GUCUCCUACUUCCUGGGCUGAUGCACUGGUGGAGACUUUUGGGUUUCUCUGCAGCAAAAUUCCAGUCUUGGGUGGCAGCUCCAUGAGGAGAGAGAUGCAGCAACAGAGACCUCCCAGACUCAUUGUUCUCAAGUCUAGUCACUGACUUCACUGGAGCUAAACAACUCUUCAGAGGUGGAGGCUGCUCCCUGACCCCUGGGUGAAGUGGCUGUGGUGUGUUUUGAUGUCAGCUUCCUUCCUGAUUCCCCAGCUUUGUCACUGGGGCAGAAAAAGCAGCUCCUCUGGACACGGAGACAAGGCAGCUGUCUGCAAGAAAAGGCAGGAAGAGAGGUCUCACCAGAAACUGAAUUGGCCAGCACCUUGAUCGUGGACUUCCCAGCCUCCAGAACCAUAAGAAUAAAUUUCCUUGGUUGGAGCCACCCAGUCUAUGGUGCUUUGUCAUGGCAGCCUGAGCUGACACCGUCUCAGAAAAUGGUAACUCUCCCCCAAGUCACCAAACAGCUCAGUCUAAUAGGAAGACUCUCAGCCAAAGUGCUCCAACACCUGGUUUAGGAGCUUUCACGGGCAUUACGUCUUUUGAAGCACCUGGGUCCUGGGACAGCAUCCCGAACCACCUUGGAUCCUGAGAGACAGCAGGGAAGGCCAGGGAGGUUUUAUCAGCUCACAUGGCAUGUGAGGAGGUCAAGAACACGAAGAGCUUUCUCAUUGGCAGAGAGAAGAUCAUGGGACCAGUUGUGCCAACCCCACCAGACCAUCACGAGACAAGGAUAAAGAACACAAAACAUGUAACGGGCUCUCUAAAUGUGAGAGAGACAAUACAAACGGCCUCUCUGGAGGUUCAUCUCUCCUAUGACCUCAACUGUCCAGCACACGGCGGCGGCGGCACAUCCGCUGGGGAGGAGGCCUGCCUACUGUGGGAAAGCUCUCUGUGCUCUCAUUGGUUCCUUUGACCAUUUUCCCCUUUAAUCCUCUCAAAGCAGAUACUAUUAUUUUAUUCACAGAUGAGGAUAGUGAGGCUAAGAGGUUGAGAAACUAGUGAGGCUAGCUGGACACAGAACUGGACUCUGAACUCACAUCUGUCUUUGUAGACCUCGAGGAUCACACGCUGACUCCCCUGUGCUGGCUUUCCUGACCACCCCCACCGCCCCACCUCCGAAAAAUACAUACAGAGGCAUCUCAUGCACGUCACAGGGUGAAAACUCAGGCCCUUGACUCAUGCCCUCACUUUGAGCCUAUUUACUCUUGGUUUAAAAACAAUCCUGACCUGCCUGGUUAUCAGCUUUCCCAUCCUGCUGCAGAUCAGAAGGGACAUGAGGAGACCAGUCAUCUGACAGCAGCAAAUAACAGAUGACAGGAGGAAAAGAAAUUUAAAAAAUAAUUUUUAGCAGUGUUGGGUGGUUUUGUGUAGAAACAAAUAGACUUACCAAUUUCUCUGAUCACUUGUGAGUGAUCUAAAAAAAAAAAAAAGCUGCCUUUAUGAAAAUAAAAUAAAACCUGUAUUCCAAAGGCAGAACUGGCUCCAGAAAAAGAAUCUCCACACUGGCUGGGGCAGCUGGACUUCGAGCAAUUCUGACUCCCAUUCCCCAAGAUCUCUCCUCCCCUUUCUGAGCCCCCGUCCUGGGCACGUCCCAUGUCAACAGCAAGGGCAGAGCACAGACACAGAACCAAGGCUUUUGUUCUUAGUACCACUGUGGGAAGAACGAUGCAUCACGGACUCCCUGAAGACUAGGGGAAAGCAAAAGGGAAACUGAUGAAGAGAAAAACGUGAAACCAGGUGACCUGGUGCAAAGCAGCUAUCUGCUUGUCAAUUACACAAUCAGGCACCUGCCACGUGCCAGCGCAGUCCUAGGUUCUGGGCUUCAGUUGUGAAGUUGAGCGACUCUCUGCCCUCUUGGAGUUGCCUAUGCCCUUGGAGGGAGUGUCUCACAGUAAUCUUCAGCUUGCCACCCCUGGAGAGGGAUGUGCCCCCUCAUGGUCCCACCCGCCUUCCUUUAGCUGAGGUCAUCUGCAGUACCAUCCAUCCACUCUCUACACUGUCCAACACAACUGUAACAUAAGAGCUAUUUUCUUUUUGUCCUCAGUUUCUGGCACAAAGCUCUUAAGACCCUUGGAGUCUCCAGAGUGAUGAGUGUCUUUUAUGUGCUAAUGAGAUGACUGGUGGCUGUGGCUCCUAGGUAGCUUCAGAUGGGGACUGGGCCCAGAAAGGCCAAGGCAUGGUUAGCGUGGGUUGGGACCUCCAGGGAGGGGAGAGAGGCUGGAGAUGGAGUCAGUCACUGACAGCCAAUGAUUUAAUCAAUCAUGCCUUCAUAAUGAAAACUCCUUAACAAAGGGGUUUGGAGAACUUCUGAGUUGGUGGGCUGAUCAAAGUGCUGGGAGGGUAGCACUCCUGAAGAGGGCACAGAAGCUCCCUGCAACCCCUACCCUACCCCUAUUCCGUGCCCUCUGCAUCCCUUCCAUUGAAUUGUAUCCUUUAUAAUAA